rnacentral:rRNA from 1 species
UACGAAGGGGGCUAGCGUUGCUCGGAAUCACUGGGCGUAAAGCGCACGUAGGCGGCUUGUUAAGUCAGGGGUGAAAUCCUGGAGCUCAACUCCAGAACUGCCUUUGAUACUGGCGAGCUUGAGUUCGGGAGAGGUGAGUGGAACUGCGAGAGUAGAGGUGAAAUUCGUAGAUAUUCGCAAGAACACCAGUGGCGAAGGCGGCUCACUGGCCCGAUACUGACGCUGAGGUGCGAAAGCGUGGGGAGCAAACAGG